rnacentral:misc_RNA from 1 species
UACGUUUGUGAGUCUGGUA